rnacentral:hammerhead_ribozyme from 1 species
GCACUGCUGAAGAGUGUCACAAUAGGACGAAACAGCUGUCCAGUGC